rnacentral:lncRNA from 1 species
AUGAAGACUGGAGUGAGCCCUCAUCAGCCAGAUGGACUGUUUCAUCUCUUCCGAAAUAGAAACCUCCAACCUACUCAGCCCUUUUGAGGCCAAAAAGAUACCCAUGGGCCCUCAAAAACCAACAGUCUCUACACCAGACUAAAACAAGUUUCCUAAAAGCAUUUUCCUUUUGGGCUCAUUUUUAUUACCUCUCCAUCCCAUGGUCCGAAGAUAAGAAUAAUUUGCAUAUAACAGUCAGUAUUAAAAUUUUUGAUUUGCAAUGGAUCAAUGAAUGACGAGGUCAGCCCAUCUGUGACUGAACCAAUCAAUGAAUGAGAAAUGGAAACUGUUGGGGGGAAUGCACUUCUACUUAGAGGCAGAUAUGGCGAAGCAAACCAAAGAUCUUGUGUCUCUCUCUGAUGGAGAUAUUUAAUUGCUGGCAUCAUGCUUCCCAGUCUGUUCUUCCUGUCUGAGCAAAUUUGGAAGCCCAAGCUACCAUGGAGCUAUCAUAUGGACCUCCCAGACUGUGUGAGCAAGAAAUAAACCUUGGUUGAGAUAAGCCGUUCAGACCAUUGCAAAUCAGAAAACAGACUUUGAGGAUUAAAAAUAUAAUAAGUGAAAUAGAUGCCUCCAGACAUCGCAUUACAAAGUCUUCUUAUUUCUUGCAGCAGGAAAUGUCAAGACACAGACAAGCAACUACUCAAAGGCCACAUGGCUGGUAAAUGGCAACAUCAGACCACACACCCAGUAGUUUGGCUUAAGAGCAUGCCGAUAACAUCACGCUGUAAUAUCUUUCCAACAACCCAUUUGCGAUAUUUAUCAUGAGCGGUAGGGGAUGAAGAGGUAUGUGCUUGAAAGGCAAUCAGGAUCUACUUUGGAGGAAACUCAAACUAAGACAAGUUGCUGCUGGUGCUGGGGCCCGAGGAGGUCCGCGCCGGAGGAGGGCCACAGGGACUGAGCGAGUGACAGACGCACCACCCGUCAAUGCUGCAACCCUGUAAGGCCUCCAUGGACUCUCUACGUGAGUGUAGAAUGAAUCAAGCCGACUCAAACACAGCAGCUAUUCCACAUGCAGUGGAAGAUAUUCAAGGAGACGACAGAUGGAUAUCUCAGCACAACAGAUUUGUCCUGGAUGACUUUGAGCUUCUUGAACAUAGAGACUGGGUUACAUUCAUCAUUGUAAAUCUGGGGUCCACCUCAAUGACGAGCACAUGAGAGGCAUUGGAUAAAUACUUCCUGAAGCAUCACUUUAGAGAGAAUAACUCACAAGCCCUGAAGUCCUGCAUUUGGUUUGGCUCAUUGAAAAACUACUCAGAGGAAUUUGACAACGACAUUAGGUGUCUCCAUCACAGCUUUAUGGAACAGUUAAUGUGAGCUCGCUUUCAAGUCAGAAUCUAAAAGUCCAGGUGCAUCUUAACUCUGAACCUUUGAAGUUUACUCAUCCUCAUUUAAUGUGAUAAUGUAAUCUAUAUGUUCAGAAUCCAUUUGAGGGGCAGUACAGGGAAAAUGGCAUGCAGAAGGAAAGAUGAACUGCUCUCAGGGGUGAAAUCUAUCUCACACGUGCAUUUAUCUUGGGCAGACACUGUUGUUUAAACUAAAGAUAAUCACAGGCAGUUCUGUGACAUUAACCUGCUUAGUUACUCCUGAAUAAAACCAGGAAUG